rnacentral:rRNA from 1 species
GACGAACGCUGGCGGCGUGCUUAACACAUGCAAGUCGAACGGUAAGGCCCUUCGGGGUACACGAGUGGCGAACGGGUGAGUAACACGUGGGUGAUCUGCCCUGCACUUCGGGAUAAGCCUGGGAAACUGGGUCUAAUACCGGAUAGGACUCCUGGCUUCAUGGUUGGGGGUGGAAAGCUUUUGCGGUGUGGGAUGGGCCCGCGGCCUAUCAGCUGGUUGGUGGGGUAAUGGCCUACCAAGGCGACGACGGGUAGCCGGCCUGAGAGGGUGACCGGUCACACUGGGACUGAGAUACGGCCCAGACUCCUACGGGAGGCAGCAGUGGGGAAUAUUGCACAGUGGGCGCAAGCCUGAUGCAGCGACGCCGCGUGAGGGAUGACGGCCUUCGGGUUGUAAACCUCUUUCAGCUAUGACGAAGCGCAAGUGACGGUAGUAGCAGAAGAAGGACCGGCCAACUACGUGCCAGCCGCCGCGGUAA